GAUGAACGCUGGCGGCGUGCCUAAUACAUGCAAGUCGAGCGAACAGACGCGGAGCUUGCUCCUCUGACGUUAGCGGCGGACGGGUGAGUAACACGUGGAUAACCUCCCUAUAAGACUGGGAUAACUUCGGGAAACCGGCGCUAAUACCGGAUAAUAUAUUGAACCGCAUGGUUCAAUAGUGAAAGACGGUUUUGCUGUCACUUAUAGAUGGAUCCGCGCCGCAUUAGCUAGUUGGUAAGGUAACGGCUUACCAAGGCAACCAUGCGUAGCCGACCUGAGGGGGUGAUCGGCCACACUGGAACUGAGACACGGUCCAGACUCCUACGGGAGGCAGCAGUAGGGAAUCGGCCGCAAUGGGCGAAAGCCUGACGGAGCAACGCCGCGUGAGUGAUGAAGGUCUUCGGAUCGUAAAACUCUGUUAUUAGGGAAGAACAAAUGUGUAAGUAACUAUGCACGUCUUGACGGUACCUAAUCAGAAAGCCACGGCUAACUACGUG
rnacentral:rRNA from 1 species